UCUUUGCAGGUCAUAGUACCUGUUUUUGCAGCUCCUACUAUAGCUGGUCUCAAAGGGUCCUGUGUGAGUUCUUAUUAGCUUCUCUAAAAUCUCCUGAUGCUUCUUCUUUUUUUUUUUUUUUGGUACUGGGAUAGAAUUUAGGACCUUGCUCUUGCUUGGGAGGCAGGUGGUGGCACCACUGAGCUAAAUCCCCGGUGGCUCUCACUUUUGUAGAUAGUCCCUUUCAUAAACUUUUUUCAGUUACCUAUCUGAGUAUGCCUGAGUAGUUCCUGGUGCCAUUUUUUUUGGGUGAUACCCAGUGCUCACUUUACCUUAGUGAAUACCUUCUCUUCCCUUACUUCAUAUGGUUGAUAGGAGGACUAAGUAAUAUGUAUAUUACAGUGCCUAGUUUAUAGGCACUAAGAAUAUGGUAGUUACUUGUAGAGUGUUACAGUCUUUGCUGUGAGCAGUCAUGUGAUAUCAAUACAUUAAUGUCCUCAGUUCCACUGUCUUAUUUGAACUCUAACUCUUCCCUCUCUGCCCCUUGGCCUACCAGUAUUGACACUGAUUGCCAUAUUGAUUACCUGAUUUCAGAUGGAGGACUGCCAGAACAAUAAAAGAGUUCAACAGCUGGGGAAUCUUUGUCUUACUGGUAGCAGCAAAAUGAAAUUUCGAGCUCAGCAGUGGCAGUGGUUUGCAUUAAUAGUUGCCACAAAGGUGAGUUUAUAGAGCAUUAGAUGCAAUAGAGAGCUAGUGGUGGCUGACCCAAAAAUGAGUUC
rnacentral:lncRNA from 1 species